rnacentral:rRNA from 1 species
AAUUUUGGACAAUGGGGGAAACCCUGAUCCAGCCAUCCCGCGUGUAUGAUGAAGGCCUUCGGGUUGUAAAGUACUUUUGGCAGAGAAGAAAAGGUAUCUCNUAAUACGAGAUACUGCUGACGGUAUCUGCAGAAUAAGCACCGGCUAACUACGUGCCAGCAGCCGCGGUAAUACGUAGGGUGCAAGCGUUAAUCGGAAUUACUGGGCGUAAAGCGUGUGUAGGCGGUUCGGAAAGAAAGAUGUGAAAUCCCAGGGCUCAACCUUGGAACUGCAUUUUUAACUGCCGAGCUAGAGUAUGUCAGAGGGGGGUAGAAUUCCACGUGUAGCAGUGAAAUGCGUAGAUAUGUGGAGGAAUACCGAUGGCGAAGGCAGCCCCCUGGGAUAAUACUGACGCUCAGACACGAAAGCGUGGGGAGCAAACAGGAUUAGAUACCCCUGGUAGUCCACGCCCUAAACGAUGUCAACCUAGCUGUUGGGGCCGUUAGGCC